rnacentral:lncRNA from 1 species
UUACAGGAAGUCCUUGCUUUAAAACGGAACUCUUCUUAACGGAUGAAUCCAGACAGAAACUGCAUUUGGCCGAUGCGCAGGACGUUCCCAGUGCACCCAGCAGCUAAUGCGGCCCGCAGCCUGCAGCCUGCUCUGAGACUUGCAGGGAAGCAGCAGUCAUUACUUCCAGCCCAGUCCUGUGGCAGAAUCAUCUCCCGCAACAGACUCUCGAGUCACGAGAAUGCAAGUGCAGUGAUCAUGUCCACACGCCGCUUCCAGUCCAUGUGCUCGCUGUACUCCACCGCCGGGGAGGCCGUGGCCCGCCUGUAGGUCUCCUCGGGAAGUGGGACACAGAGUUGUGCUGCUAUGCUUUCUUUUGUUGCCUUAAGGGUUAUACUUGAAAUGCAUCGUGCUAAACGUUGUCGGGCUGAAGGAUUCGUCCUUGCCAUGGCCGCACUGACCCAGUGCCGGUCACACGGUGGUGGUGCACAGGUGUCCUGUAGCGGUCCAGCUUCAGUUUACGUCAGACAAUCAGUACACACGCAGGUGUGUUUCCCAAUGGCCAGUGACAAAUGUUUAAUAAGUACUCGUGAGAUUUGCUAUUUUUAAUAAAGCAAUUGUUUU